UACGUAGGGGCCUAGCGUUGUCCGGAAUUAUUGGGUGCGUAAAGAGCUCGUAGGCGGUUCGGCAAGUCGGAUGUGAAAUCUCCACGCUUAACGUGGAGGGGCCAUUCGAAACUGCUGUGACUCGAGUCCGGUAGGGGAGUGUGGAAUUCCCGGUGUAGCGGUGAAAUGCGCAGAUAUCAGGAAGAACACCCGUGGCUAAGGCGGCUCUCUAGUACGGUACUGACGCUGAGACGCGAAAGCGUGGGGAGCGAACAGG
rnacentral:rRNA from 1 species